rnacentral:rRNA from 1 species
UUGGAGGGCAAGUCUGGUGCCAGCAGCCGCGGUAAUUCCAGCUCCAAUAGCGUAUAUUAAAGUUGUUGCAGUUAAAAAGCUCGUAGUUGAAUUUCGGGAUCAAUGCGUCGGUCGUGCCUUCGGUACGUACUAGCGUCAUUGAUUCCUCCCUUCUGAAGAACCGUGAUGUCAUUAAUUUGGUGUUACGGGGAAUCAGGACUGUUACCUUGAAAAAAUUAGAGUGUUUAAAGCAGGCUAACGCUUGAAUACAUUAGCAUGGAAUAAUGAAAUAGGACGUUCGAACCUAUUUUGUUGGUUUCUAGGAUCGGCGUAAUGAUUAAUAGGGAUAGUUGGGGGCAUUAGUAUUCAAUUGUCAGAGGUGAAAUUCUUGGAUUUAUUGAAGACUAACUACUGCGAAAGCAUUUGCCAAGGAUGUUUUCAUUAAUCAAGAACGAAAGUUAGGGGAUCGAAGACGAUCAGAUACCGUCGUAGUCUUAACCAUAAACUAUGCCGACUAGGGAUCGGAUGAUGUUAAUUUUUUAAUGACUCAUUCGGCACCUUACGGGAAAC